AGAGGUUAAGUAAUGCAAAGCACCCACAGAAUGGCCAGAGGCCAAGGGCAGGGCUUGUGACUCCAGAACACAUCAGCAUCAGCACAAGGUGAGAUUAAGUUUUUAAAGGGCCAUUAAUGGAUAAGUAUUAUUUUCUUUCUUUGCAUUGGGGUUCUGACCGCCAGGGGGAAAAAUAGCCACACACAAGGAAAUGGCAUAAGUUAAAAUCAGGCAAGCCUAGUGGGGUGGUAAUGACUUUCCCAGCAUCCAAGUCUUUGCCUUCAGGUUACGUGAAGCUAGAAAACAAUGUCAUUCAUUCAACAUUUACAGGGAACUCACAAAGUACAGAGUACUAUGCUAAGCACUGGAAGGCAUGCAAAAGUUGGCGGACUCCGCUCUGCUGCGGGCCGGAAACUUUCCUCCCCGCCUAGUCUGCGCUGGGUACUGUUGUUAUUCGUGACUGUCCCCUCUCGCGGGGAGCUCGGACACCUUGGACAGGUCUUCGUCGGCGGGAGCGCGCCCUGCCUGGCUGUUUAUUAUUUAUGACAAAAGUAAGCAUUUAACUUUAAUAUAACUCCUUAAGUAGAAAACCUUGACAUUGACUGAUUGGAGAAACAAUGUAGUGACAGUAUUAAGUACCAUUAAAGAGGCCUUUUCACCAGAAAAGACGUACUUUAGUAGAUUUGUAGAGGGGAAUAAAUGGAUUUACAGCAUGUUAAACCUAGUUUUAGAAGCCUGCUAUUAACUUAUUCUAGCUAGAAGGAUUUUCCAAAAGAAUAAUAAUUUGGCAUAUUUCAAGUGAACUUCACUUGUACACAUAUACUUCCACAUACACAUAGAGUUUAAGG
rnacentral:lncRNA from 10 species